GGGAGUACUCCUGGACCCAGGCCUCACCCUGGUAUCUCAGGUGGAGGCCAUGGCCAGGAGUGCUUUCUGUCAGCUUCAAGCUGCGUCCAUUCCUUGAAGAGGAUGACCUCAUAACAGUGGUGCAUCUGACUGUGCACAAAUAGAUCUGAUCCCGUAUAGAGCCAACUGAAUCAAUUCUCCCGUACAAAUGGGCAGCCCAUAUCAAUUCUAAAAUAAUAGAUUUACAGAAGAGGGAGUUCUACGAAAAAUAGCUUUCAGCUUAGCAGAAAAGAUUUAAAAUGAUGAAACAUCAAAAGGCAAGAAAAUGUCAAGCCUCCUCUUCCUGGACACUACUGUGGAGGUGAACGUUAGGCGUUACAAGGAAAUACAACACAGUUCAUUCCCUGCUGCCAUAUCUGUAUAUUGUCUAAAUGAAAUUGGACACAUUGCCAACAGGCCGUGGUGUUUGUUCCAGGGGAGUAGCUCA